GACGAACGCUGGCGGCGUGCUUAACACAUGCAAGUCGAACGGAAAGGCCCUGCUUUUGUGGGGUGCUCGAGUGGCGAACGGGUGAGUAACACGUGAGUAACCUGCCCUUGACUUUGGGAUAACUUCAGGAAACUGGGGCUAAUACCGGAUAGGAGCUCCUGCUGCAUGGUGGGGGCUGGAAAGUUUCGGCGGUUGGGGAUGGACUCGCGGCUUAUCAGCUUGUUGGUGGGGUAGUGGCUUACCAAGGCUUUGACGGGUAGCCGGCCUGAGAGGGUGAACGGCGACAUUGGGACUGAGAGACGGACCAGACUCCUACGGGAGGCAGCAGUGGGGAAUAUUGUACAAUGGGAGGAAGCCUGAUGCAGCAACGCCGCGUGCGGGAUGACGGCCUUCGGGUUGUAAACCGCUUUAGCCUGUGACGAAGCGUGAGUGACGGUAAUGGGUAAAGAAGCACCGGCUAACUACGUG
rnacentral:rRNA from 1 species